rnacentral:rRNA from 1 species
UACGUAGGGUGCAAGCGUUGUCCGGAAUUACUGGGCGUAAAGAGCUCGUAGGUGGUUUGUCGCGUUGUCCGUGAAAACUCACAGCUUAACUGUGGGCGUGCGGGCGAUACGGGCAGACUGGAGUACUGCAGGGGAGACUGGAAUUCCUGGUGUAGCGGUGGAAUGCGCAGAUAUCAGGAGGAACACCGGUGGCGAAGGCGGGUCUCUGGGCAGUAACUGACGCUGGAGGAGCGAAAGCGUGGGGAGCGAACAGG